rnacentral:rRNA from 1 species
AAGUCGUAACAAGGUCUCCGUUGGUGAACCAGCGGAGGGAUCAUUACAGAGUUGCAAAACUCCCAACCAUUGUGUACCUACCUCACCGUUGCUUCGGCGGGUAGCCUGUAACCCAGGCCGCGCCGGCUCCCCUCCAGGGGCCGGCAGCCCGUCAGAAGCCCGAAACUCUUCGUUAUUACAGGCCUCUCUGAGUAACUUAUACAAUAAGUCAAAACUUUCAACAACGGAUCUCUUGGUUCUGCCAUCGAUGAAGAACGCAGCGAAACGCGAUACGUAAUGUGAAUUGCAGAUUUCAGUGAAUCAUCGAAUCUUUGAACGCACAUUGCGCCCGCUAGUAUUCUGGCGGGCAUGCCUGUUCGAGCGUCAUUUCAACCAUCAAGCGCCUGCGCUUGUGUUGGAGCCCUGCGGCUGCCGCAGGCUCCCAAACCCAGUGGCGGGCUCGUCGUCGUACCGAGUGCAGUAAACAUCCUCGCUCAGGGCGCGCGUCGGGUACCGGCCGUAAAACACCCCCCUAUAUCAAGGUUGACCUCGGAUCAGGUAGGAAUACCCGCUGAACUUAAGCAUAUCAAUAAGCGGAGGAAAAGAAACCAACAGGGAUUGCCCCAGUAACGGCGAGUGAAGCGGCAACAGCUCAAAUUUGAAAUCUGGCCUCGGCCCGAGUUGUAAUUUGCAGAGGAAGCUUCUGGUGCGGCGCCGUCCGAGUCUCCUGGAACGGAGCGCCAUAGAGGGUGAGAGCCCCGUAUGGACGGAUGCCUAGCCUGUGUGAAGCUCCUUCGACGAGUCGAGUAGUUUGGGAAUGCUGCUCUAAAUGGGAGGUAAAUUCCUUCUAAAGCUAAAUAUUGGGCAGAGACCGAUAGCGCACAAGUAGAGUGAUCGAAAGAUGAAAAGCACUUUGAAAAGAGGGUUAAACAGCACGUGAAAUUGUUGAAAGGGAAGCGCUUGUGAUCAGACUUGAGCGCGGCGGAUCAUCCGGUGUUCUCACCGGUGCACUCUGCCGCGCCCAGGCCAGCAUCGGUUUCCGCGGGGGGACAAAGGCCCUGGGAACGUAGCUCCUCCGGGAGUGUUAUAGCCCAGGGCGUAAUGCCCUCGCGGGGACCGAGGACCGCGCAUCUGCAAGGAUGCUGGCGUAAUGGUCAUCAGCGACC